rnacentral:rRNA from 1 species
AUGAAGAUGAGCCGACAAUGGAUGUACGAUGACCGAUGCUCUCUCGAGUUCAUUAAUGGCGUGCAAACUUUUCUGCUUGCGGCUGAGGAAAACAAGCGGGCAGAUGGUUUUAUGCCUUGUCCAUGUGUUGGAUGUAAGAAUGAUAACAAUUACUCUAAGUCAAGAACCAUUCACGUCCACCUGUUUAACUCCGGUUUCAUGCCCCGUUAUAAUGUUUGGACCAAGCACGAAGAAAGAGGGGUUAUGAUGGAAGACAAUGAAGAAGAAGAGGAUGACGACAGCUAUCCUGGCCAUGAUGGGCUCCCUGAAUACGAUGAUACAACAAUGGGGGAAGAAGCUGAGCCGGUAAUGCGGGAAGAAGCUGAGCCGGCAAUACGGGAAGAAGCUGAAGAAGAGGCAUCAGAUGGGCCCGUUGAUGAUCUAGGUCGGGCCAUUGUCGAUGCAAAGAGAAACUGCGCAAGUGAUUUGGAGAAGAAGUUGUAG